UACGGGGGGUGCGAGCGUUGUCCGGAAUCACUGGGCGUAAAGGGCGCGUAGGUGGUUUGAUAAGGGUGUGGGGAAAGUCCGGGGCUCAACCCCGGAUCUGCCGUGCCGACUGUCAAACUCGAGGGCUGUAGAGGCAGACGGAAUUCCGGGUGUAGCGGUGGAAUGCGUAGAGAUCCGGAGGAAGACCGGUGGCGAAGGCGGAUCUCUGGGCCUUACCUGACGCUCAGGUGCGAAAGCUAGGGGAGCGAACAGG
rnacentral:rRNA from 1 species